GGUGCGGUGGCCGAAUGGUUAGUGCUGUGGACUCUGGGUCGAACGUUCCAGGUUCGAACCCUGUGUUGUGUCC